rnacentral:rRNA from 1 species
ACACGUAGGACGCAAGCGUUGUCCGGAUUUAUUGGGCGUAAAGGGCUCGUAGGCGGUUUCGUAAGUCGGGUGUGAAAACUCAGGGCUCAACCCUGAGACGCCACUCGAUACUGCGAUGACUUGAGUCCGGUAGGGGAGCAGGGAAUUCCUGGUGUAGCGGUGAAAUGCGCAGAUAUCAGGAGGAACACCAUUAGCGAAGGCGCUGCUCUGGGCCGGUACUGACGCUGAGGAGCGAAAGCAUGGGGAGCAAACAGGAUUAGAAACCCUAGUAGUCC